rnacentral:rRNA from 1 species
CGAUGAAUGUUAAAUAUGGGAAUCCUUACUUUUCUGUAUUACAGCUAACGCGUUAAACAUUCCGCCUGGGGACUACGGUCCCAAGAUUAAAACUCAAAGGAAUUGACGGGGACCCGCACAAGCGGUGGAGCAUGUGGUUUAAUUCGAUGCAACGCGAAAAACCUUACCACUCCUUGACAUGGAAAUUAUACCUAUUCGAAGGGAUAGGGUCGGUUCGGCCGGGUUUCACACAGGUGUUGCAUGGCUGUCGUCAGCUCGUGUCGUGAGAUGUUGGGUUAAGUCCCGCAACGAGCGCAACCCUCAUCCUUAGUUACCAUCAGGUAAUGCUGGGGACUUUAAGGAAACUGCCAGUGUUAAACUGGAGGAAGGUGGGGAUGAUGUCAAGUCAUCAUGGCCCUUAUGGAGUGGGCUACACACGUGCUACAAUGGUGGCUACAAUGGGCUGCAAAGUCGCGAGGCUAAGCUAAUCCCUUAAAAGCCAUCUCAGUUCGGAUUGUACUCUGCAACUCGAGUGCAUGAAGUUGGAAUCGCUAGUAAUCGUGGAUCAGCACGCCACGGUGAAUANGUUCUCGGGUCUUGUACACACUGCCCGUCACGCCAUGGGAAUUGGUUUCACUCGAAGCUAAUGACCUACAAGGAAGGAGGGAGUUAUUUAAAGUGGGAUCGGUGACUGGGAAAAGGUCGUACCAAGGUAGCAGUAGGGGAAUCUGCGG